GCCAGGUAUGGUGGUGCAUGCCUGUAGUCCCAGCUAUUCAGGAGGCUGAGGUGGGAGUAUCACUUGAGCCCAGGAGCUCAUAGUGCGCUAUGUGGAUUGGAUGUUUGUAGUAAGUUUGGCAUCAGUAUGGUUACCCCUAUCCCAGGAGCAGGUGACCACUAGAUUGCCUAAGGAAGCAUGAACCAGCCCAAGUUGGAAACAGAGCAGGUCAAAAUUCCCAUGCUGAUCAGCAGUGGGAUUAUGCCAGUGAACAGCCACUGCACUACAAUGUGAGCAACAUAAAGAGAUGCCCCUGCCC
rfam:Gorilla gorilla gorilla genomic chromosome, chr7, whole genome shotgun sequence